rnacentral:rRNA from 1 species
GAUUAACGCUGGCGGUAUGUCUAAUACAUGCAAGUCGAACGCGUCCUUGUGACGAGUGGCGAACGGCUGAGUAACACAUUGGUAUCUGCCCCGAACUCAGGGAUAACCCACCUAACGGUGGACUAAUACCGGAUAGUCCCGCAAGGGUAAAGAUUUUUCGGUUCGGGAGGAGCCUGUGGCCUAUCAGUUUGUUGGUGAGGUAAUAGCUCACCAAGACUAUGACGGGUAGCUGGUCUGAGAGGAUGAUCAGCCAGAAUGGGACUGAGACACGGCCCAUACUCCUACGGGAGGCAGCAGUAAAGAAUCUUUCGCAAUGGGGGAAACCCUGACGAAGCAAUACCGCGUGGAUGAUGAAGGUCGUAAGAUCGUAAAAUCCUUUUCUGAGGGAAUAAAUAUGAAGGUACCUCAGGAAUAAGCACCGGCUAACUACGUGCCAGCAGCCGCGGUAAUG